rnacentral:tRNA from 1 species
GCCGACUUAGCUCAGUUGGUAGAGCAACGGACUGAAAAUCCGUGUGUCCCCUGUUCGAAUCAGGGAGUCGGCA